rnacentral:lncRNA from 1 species
CCUUGUGCGCUGUCAGUGUGAGUCAGGAUUCUUGAGAUUGGUUAAGGUUAGGGCACUGAUGAUAUUGUUUUUAUCAGCCUGUGAAGUUGAGAGCUGUAACCUGUCCCUUGGUGAAUUCACCAAGGGAACCUCCACCACCUGGCUGGAUACCUCUCCCUGAUUAACAUUCUUGCAGCAUCAGUAGUUAGGUGGUGAAAGUUGGGUCAUGAACUUGAAAGUGAAGAGUGAGAGGAGGAAGUGGAGAGAGUUUUGGGAUCCAGCCCAUGAAAGCUUAAAAUUGGUUGAAGAAGAAGUAGCACUCCUGAAGACAUUCUAUUAAGCUGCCAUCACCCUAAUACCAAAACCAGACUACCAAAAAAGAAA